UACGGGGGGGGGCAAGCGUUGUUCGGAAUUACUGGGCGUAAAGGGCUCGCAGGCGGCCAACUAAGUCAUACGUGAAAUCCCUCGGCUUAACCGGGGAACUGCGUCUGAUACUGGAUGGCUUGAGUUCGGGAGAGGGAUGCGGAAUUCCAGGUGUAGCGGUGAAAUGCGUAGAUAUCUGGAGGAACACCGGUGGCGAAGGCGGCAUCCUGGACCGAUACUGACGCUGAGGAGCGAAAGCCAGGGGAGCAAACGGG
rnacentral:rRNA from 1 species